UUUUACAAUUGGGAUCAUCGCGAAAAUAUCUCCGAUUGGAUGUGAAAGGUUUCAUAGCGACCGGUACAUGUAGGGUGGCGCUAAAGAAUAGGAGUUACAAUAGUUAUUAUAUAUGUAACAAAUCGCCUAUCUAUUUGGCAGCACGUCCAGAAGGUGAAACAACACUUCUGGACGAGAUGGCACCGAGAAUAUCUGAACGAGCUGACAACCAGAAGCAAGUGGUCUAGCGGUGCACAUGCAUGCAGUCAAGGAGGGCACAAUUGUCUUGGUCAGAGAAGACAACGUGCCCUCAAUACAAUGGCCCUUGGGUAGAGUGAUCAAGGUUCACCCAGGCUUCGACGGCGUUAUCCGGGCGGUUACAGUCAAAACCGUGCUGGAUCGCAGCAUUAAACGAUUGGUACCCUUGCCAAACCAGGAGGGCAAGGACGAUCUCGGAGAAGUGAAGGCAAGGGAGACCGACAUUGACACCCAGUGUCGAUCCUGAACGGUCUCAUUCAAGGUACCAAGCACAAGCUUCCAGUCUCAUAGGUAGCUUGCCCGCUUCGAAGGAAUCUGCUGUUUCAUGGGCUAGGGAGAAGGGACUCCGACGUACUACAAGAAGUUGUAGUACUUAUUGUCGGCUCAUGAAUCUUUACGCAGGCGGGGAACACGGUCUUGGCUGUUUCCGAUGCCCUGCUGGCCGCGGUAACUGCAAACAGUACGCGGCCACAGUCGAUUCCUUCUUUCAGGAUGUCCGUCUGCCGUUACAUAAGGCAAUAAAGCUUAUGUACUGCUUUACUUCUGACUUCUCCUGGGAGAUUACCGCAACGGAGUUAUCCGACGUAGGAGAAGAUCAGGAAGUAUUGUCUACGGACACCAUUGCAGCGUGGUUCCGCUAUUGUCGGGAGAUGAUAGUGGACCACGUUUGCAAAAUGCAGGCGGGCAAGCCGAAAUUAGGCGGGAUCGAUGAAGGAGGAUCUGCAAUCGUUGUACAGCUCCUGAUGGAACACAUACGCAACAAAUCGAAGCGAACUGGCGACCGGUAAAGGAUUGCAUGCGUGGAAGAGGCCGCUUCCACGACGAAGACUUUGCCGAUCGCCUGUGUGAGUUUUUGUGGAGGAAAUUCUGCAAAACUCACAACAUUCAUCUUAUGGAUUCCUUGAUCGCAGCAAUCAAGGAGCAGUACAUUUUCGAAUAAGGUAACUUGAAAUUAGUCACUUAAACGAACCAAUCAGAUGAUGGGUAGAAACAAUAUGGCGUCAUUCUAACCUCUCAAACGUCACUAAAUACGUACAUUUUUAAACACUUGUAUUUCUUAAACUAUUGGUUUCCUGGACUUUUAACUUGUAUUUUCUAAAAUUUCAGGUCAAAAACUACAAAAAAAAAGGACCCCUUAAUUUUUGGUCCCCCAAGACGAAGUUUUACUCAAUGUAGUAGUAACAUUAGUUUUUCACGAAUAUCUCAGAAACUAAAGCUUUCAGUUGAUUAUUGUUGGCGAAAUUCCCCAGGACCACGCCGAUCAAUGAAGUUGGCUGCGAAAAUACUUCGCUAGUGCGUUGCUACUGACAGCGGCAGCACCUCUCGGGCCUUCUUUGUCCACGCGGUCCUCUCUCUACGCGCUAGCCGGCACGAUCGACGCCAUCAUCGAUCGUGUUCUUGUUCGAUCGCUUGACACGCAAACACGUGUUGUUCGCUGUCCACGCUUUUCGUACAAGUACGCAGUUUCUGAACACGCGACGCUGUACUUCAGCCGUUGUAGUGACCAGCCGUUAAUUAAUGAUUAAGAUUUCUCUGUAAAUAUUCUAGUGUUUUAUUGUAUAUCUGUGUGACUUUUGUAUAUACUUUCUUUAGAAUUUAAUUAAACAAAUUGUGAUUGUUACAAGAGUCGUGUCUCCUUCUUCCGACCUCGCAGACUUCGUGAACUCGAUAACAAUUAUACAUAAUAAAAACGUUCUUCAGCAUCAUGCCCCCGACAACAUAUUAAAUGGUCAUUGAAAUCAACCUAUGUUGAGAUUAGAAACUUCCCGUUUUUUUGCAAUAAAAAUCGUUCGAAAUGAAAAAAUGCAAAAUGUUUUUUUAACGGGACCAAUGGGAAGAGAUACUCUACAAGAUCCAAAAGGAUUCGUUCCGAUUGGUCCAUCCAUCUCAGAGUAAUCUGCGAACAAAGCCAGAAAAAAAAAAAUAUACUGAUCGAAUUUAGUAUCCUCCUCCUUUUCGAAGUCGGAUAAAAACUGUAACAAACGAGCCUGAAGAACAAUCCUGUCUACCAAGUGGCCUGAGUAUCGUGGACGUGCAGCACAUCUUUGCUGAAUUGACUAUGCUAAAGAUAGGGAAGACUGUGGAAUUAGACACCUAAAAAUAACCGGCAUGAAACGGUCGGGCCUGAGGACCACCCUUAGUGUAAUAUGUGAUAUGUGCAAAUAUAAAGGUGAAAUCCACAGUGAACCUGACGAAAGCAAUAAAAUGGAAACAAACCACUGUGCCGUUGCUAGAACAAUUGUGAAUGGAGGCAGUUAUGCCCAAAUGGAGGAGUUCCUUGCACCGAUGAACAUACCUUCCAUGUCGAAGAAAGAAUUUAGAAAGCAUCACGAUAAAAUCGUGAAAGCACUAAUUGUUGCUGCAGAAGAAGAGAUGGUAGCAGCGGCAGAGGAAGAAAAACGCAUGGCCAUUGAAAGAGGCGAUAUUGUUCCCGGAUUUGGAAUUCCUCACAUCCCCGUUGUGGCCGAUGGAAGCUGGAUGAAACGAUCAUACCGGACUGGAACGUACGAUUCCGCGUCUGGAGUCGGCGUUAUAAUUGGAUACCAUACGAAGAAAGUUUUAUUUAUCGGUGUGAGUAACAAGGUGUGCAGGCUUUGUCGAUGUGCUACGAAAAAGAAAGAAUAGCCACGAAAGCGCACCUGUUUCAAAAAUUGGAGCGCAAAGCCAAGCAUCAACGGCUAUGGAAAGUGACGCUAUAGUCGAAGGGUUCAAGACCAAUGUAGAAAAACGUGGGCUUAUUUAUUCAACACUGAUUGCUGAUGGGGACAGCAGGGUUUAUAAAGAAAUUAUAGAUGCGAGGAUCCGUAUAAAACGCAGAUUCGUGUAAAAAAAAUUGAAUGCACGAAUCAUUUGUUGCGAAACUUUUGCAGAAAAAUGAAAGAAGUUGUAAAGAUGACAACACCUGGUCCAUUGAGAAGGAUCGUUGAAAGCAGCAUUCGGCGAAUGCGUGCGGACAUAGUAAAAGCCGCAGAGUUCAGAUACAGUCAGCAAGUAACAACCGCUGAGAAAAUUAAGAAUUUGUAUGCCGACAUACACAAUGUUCAUUGCCACGUUUUUGGUGAACACGCAGAUUGUUCAAAACUGCCAUACUUCUGCAAUGAAACGAGCAAAAAAGAUGAAAAGAACAUUGUUCCCGAAUUGAUGAAGAUGGGAGUGUACGAACACAUCAAAGAAAUACUUCGACCUUUGUUGGCGCAUGUUAAAAGUUUGCUUUAUAACAGUAACAGUAAUGCCGUCGAAAGUUUCAACGGAAUCAUCGCCAAAUAUACAGGAGGAAAAAGAUUGAAUUUCGGCGAGAGAGGAUCUUACACGGGAAGAUGUGCUGCUGUCCUACAGUAUAACACAAAACAAGUGUUGUCGCGUUUGAAUACGGCGAUGAACAAGAAAUCGCCCGUUAUUUUACUCAAAAUGGAAAAUAGAAGGAAGAAAGAAAAUGAGAAGUACGCUGAAAAGAUAAAGGAAAAAAAGAUUACGAAGCACGUGCGGAAACAAUUCCGUUCGGAAAAGGGAUUCGAAUUACGGACCGAACACUCAAAAGCCAGAUAUGGCCAAGAACAUUUAUGAAUUAGAGCAGAAAAAACAUAUGGAAAUGUUGCAGCAUUUGCAAAAUAGAAGAGAUGCCAUUGAGAAAGAAAUCAUCGGUCAAGCGAAAAAUCCGAGAUAGUUGAAUUAUAAAUCAAAACUAUUGAUGGCCUCUAAUUUUGGACGAAUAUGCCGUCGUCGGAUUGGCACGUUCUGUGCAAAUUUAGUGAAGUCAUUUGUGUAUCGACGAUUGAUUAGUGCACCUGCAGUACAAUACGGACAAGAAUGCGAAAAAUUCGCCCGUGAAGAACUAAGUGCGUGCAUUGGUGUUAAAAUCAAGAAUGUGGCUUAUUCGUUGAUACUGCCAUCCCGUUCUUAGGAGCUUCACCAGAUGGACUUAUAGACGAAGAGGGCAUUGCGGAAAUCAAAUGUCCGAAGGAGGAGGCAAUCAAGAGUGUUGCGGUUAUUUGCCGUAAGGAGGAAACAUAUUAAACAGCAACCAUUAUUAUUACUACCAGGUACAAGGACAAUACAUAUCACAGGUAGAAAAUAUUGCUUAUUUUGUAUCUGGACUCGAAACAGGUUAAAGUACAUUAGAGUUGAUAGAGAUGAUAACUUUUGGCAAAACAAUAUGGAGCUAAGUUAAUUCAAUUUUAUUUAUUCUGCAUGUUACCGAAAUUAAUAGAUAAUCGUUACAAUAGGGGUAUGCCCAUUCGGGAGCUUCAAUUUACAACAGAGGAGAGAGCAAGCUUAGAACAGCAGUUUUCGAGCCAAUAUGGACCAAUAUUUUAGCACUUUGGACUUAGCUUCCGAGUUUUAUCAAAUUCCCAUAGAUCCAGCAUCUAAAUCGAAAACAGCUUUUUUGACUCCGCACGGUCAUUAUGAAUUUAACAGAAUGCCGUUCGGGUUGAAAAAUGCUCCUGCCACUUUUCAGAGUCAUGGACCUUGUAUUAUCUGGAUUGCAAGAUACCGAGCUAGUCAUGUAUAUGGAUGAUAUUGUUAUUUAUGCAAACUCCCUCGAAGACCACUCACGAAAAUUGAAAACUCUCCUGGCACGAUUGAAAACGAGCGGGCUAACUCUUCAACCCGGAAAAUGUCAAUUCAUACGAAAAGAAAUAGUAUACCUAGGGCACAUAAUUUCUAGUAAAGCAGUAAAACCUGACCCCUGGGCAAAUUCGUAUCCCCACAACUAGAAAAAAUGUUAAGCUGCGACGACAGCCGCGGAUCGGCGUCGCGCGUCGCGGGCCCCCACCGCGGCGGCCUCCCCACUCCCGCGAGCGAGGCUAUAAGUACCGGUAGGCUCGACGUCGCGGUUUGUCCAGGCGAAGAGCUCACCGGCCGUCGGACCGUGACGUACCUCACGGGCUGGCAGCUCCCAACCGGUCCAGCAGCCGUAGGCGCUUAGCUUCGUCAGCCCCGAGGUUUGUCCCAGGAUGACCAAACUAGUGCGCGUCCGUAACAUCCGCCGGUUUGACCGCGGGGUUCCGAACGCUAGCUUACCCGGCACCGCAUCCGGCCUAUGGCAAUUCCGUCCCGUCCCGAGGCUAGACCCAGGGCGAGCCGGGAUUGGUCGUCGACUCGUUCACUGCUAGGUUUGACCACGGUGUACGAGAAGACAGCCGCGUCAGGCAAGCGGGCAGCAACUCUACCGCAGCGCGAAACACCGCAGCGCGAGAAUCGAAUAAAGACCGACGGUGCGCCGUGCGCCGUAACACCGCGUCUCUCUCGUUCGCGUUCGCGCGCCACUCAGCGUUUUCACUCCGCGCUCCGACGCUGCGCUGUUAGCCUGUAAGACCCCGUAGCAACGGCUACGAACCGCGUUAGACUAAGACCGUGCGACUUCUGUAACGGACCGGGUUCCGCCAGUAGUUUGUAAGCCAAUGUACACCUAGGCUUAAGUGCGACACGGCUCCAUCGCCAGCUCAUCGAUAGCUUCUUCUGUUGUAGCGAGCCCGGCAGGAUAUACCGCCACCGUCCUCGGCGCUUCCAGGGACCGCAGCCGGCGGCCCAGUACCAACCUCAUAGCUCUACUUCAUUUUCUUGAAUAAAUAUUUCUAUUUUUGAUACUAACACCGCCUCUUAUUUCUCGAACCUGUUCCCCAGCGAACCCUGGCACGGGGAAACCGACCGCGGUGCGCAGCGCCGUGCGCACCGACCAGACCGCCCCGUUACAAAGCAAUUCUUAGGCCUCGUAGGUUAUUACCAGAGAUUUACCCCAAAUGGCUAGGAUUGCAAAGCCAUUGACCAAACUUCUGAAAAAGGAUGCACCUUUCCUCUGGUCUUCUGAUGUUCAAGCCUCUUUUGAAACACUAAGAGAUAUCAUUUGCGUAGAGCCUUUAUUACAAUUUCCAAAUUUUUCUCAGCCAUUUCUCGUUACAACCGACGCCUCUGAUUUCGCUAUAGGCGCCAUUUUAAGUCAAGGACCCAUUAGGAAAGACCUUCCUAUUGCAUUUGCCUCGAGAACCUUGGGUAAACCUAAGGUUAAUUAUUCCGUUCAUGUCCAGUUUGCCAGGCGAAAUAAAAAUUAUUCUGUGAAAAACAGGCAACCCAUGUUAAUAACCGAUACCCCUAAAACAGCAUCCGAAAAAGUACAGAUGGACAUUGUUGGUCCCCUACUCAAAACAAAAAAGGGAAAUCAAUACUUGCUUACCUUACA